rnacentral:rRNA from 1 species
GCUUCUUUUUCACCGGAGCUUGCUCCACCGGAAAAAGAGGAGUGGCGAACGGGUGAGUAACACGUGGGUAACCUGCCCAUCAGAAGGGGAUAACACUUGGAAACAGGUGCUAAUACCGUAUAACAAUCGAAACCGCAUGGUUUUGAUUUGAAAGGCGCUUUCGGGUGUCGCUGAUGGAUGGACCCGCGGUGCAUUAGCUAGUUGGUGAGGUAACGGCUCACCAAGGCCACGAUGCAUAGCCGACCUGAGAGGGUGAUCGGCCACAUUGGGACUGAGACACGGCCCAAACUCCUACGGGAGGCAGCAGUAGGGAAUCUUCGGCAAUGGACGAAAGUCUGACCGAGCAACGCCGCGUGAGUGAAGAAGGUUUUCGGAUCGUAAAACUCUGUUGUUAGAGAAGAACAAGGAUGAGAGUAACUGUUCAUCCCUUGACGGUAUCUAACCAGAAAGCCACGGCUAACUACGUGCCAGCAGCCGCGGUAAUACGUAGGUGGCAAGCGUUGUCCGGAUUUAUUGGGCGUAAAGCGAGCGCAGGCGGUUUCUUAAGUCUGAUGUGAAAGCCCCCGGCUCAACCGGGGAGGGUCAUUGGAAACUGGGAGACUUGAGUGCAGAAGAGGAGAGUGGAAUUCCAUGUGUAGCGGUGAAAUGCGUAGAUAUAUGGAGGAACACCAGUGGCGAAGGCGGCUCUCUGGUCUGUAACUGACGCUGAGGCUCGA